GACAUUGAAAAUGAAGAGACUGUGUUCUUGGGUGAACUGGAGAGAAACGGAGAAGUCUUGGCCUGGACCGUACCUCUACACAGGCAUGGGAAAAAGAGGAAGGCUUGAUCUUGGGAUUUUACAGACACAGGAAGAAAGUAUUUUGGUGUGGAGGUGAAAAUGAAGGUGAAGGGGUCCUCUUUGGGAAUGAAGAGGAAAUUGAGGCAAGCUGGUAAGCUGCUUGUGAUGGUCACACCUUAAGGUGAUCCUCAAAGACCUGACUUGUAUAAUUCCCUCCUCGUGAAUGUGGGUAAGACCUGUGAUUCGCUUCUUUUUUUUUUUUUAAUAUUAUUUUUUCCAGUGUUCCAGCGUUCAUUGUGUAUGUACCACACCCAGUGCUCUAUGCAAUACGUGCCCUCCUUAAUACCCACCACCAGACUCUCCCAACAUCCCACCCCCACCCCUCCAAAACCCUCAGUUUGUUUCUCAGAGUCCACAGUCUCUCAUGGUUUGUCUCCCCCUCUGAUUUCCUCCAACUCACUUCUCCUCUCCAUCUCCCCAUGUCCUCCAUGUUAUUCCUUAUGCUCUACAAAUAAGUGAAACCAUAUGAUAAUUGACUCUCUCUGCUUGAAUUAUUUCACUCAGCAUAAUCUCUUCCAGUCCCAUCCAUGUUGAUACAAAAAUUGGGUAUUCAUCCUUUCUGAUGGAGGCAUAACAUUCCAUCGUAUAUAUGGACCAUAUCUUCUUUUUCCAUUUGUCUGUUGAAGGGCAUCUUGGUUCUUUCCACAGUUUGGCAACUGUGGCCAUUGCUGCUACAGACAUUGGGGUACAGAUGGCCCUUCUUUUCACUACAUCUGUAUCUUUGGGGUAAAUACCCAGGAGUGCAAUUGCAGGGUCAUAGGGAAGCUCUAUUUUUAAUUUCUUACGGAAUCUCCACACUGUUUUCCAGACUCACUUCUAACUGGUAGAAUAUGGUAAAGGCGAUGAGACAUCGUUCCCACAGUUCAUUUUGUUCUUUAAGACUCCAUCUUAGCAGACCAGAGUGAGAGACUCUCCUGCUGGCCUUAAAGAAGCAGGCUGCUUGGAUGUGGGCUUCCCAUGCGGGGAGCCAUAAAGCUGGGCACCGCGGGGGGCCUCUAGGACCUGGGGGCAGCCUCUAGCCAACGGCCAGGAAGAAACCAGGGACCCCCUCAGUCCCGUAGCCACAAGGAACUGAAUUCUGCCCACAACCACAUGAGCUUGGAAGAGGAUUCGGAGCUCCAGAAGGGUCACCACGCCGCCAACACCUUGACUACAGCCUCGUGAGACCCUGAGCGGAGGACCCAGAAACUGUGAGAUAAUAAAGAGUCACCACCCGAGAGUUGUGUGAACAGUCAGCCUUGCCAGAGGGCUUUUGUCAUAUGGCAGCAUCCUGGACGACGACGACGACGAUGACGACAAGUGAUGGUGGUGAUGGUGACGAUGGUGAUGACGAAAGUAUUCAUUGACCGGAAGAGUGCACUGAGGCAGUUUGAAGCUUUUGUGAAGAGCAUGGACUUGGAUUCCAGACUGAUUGCCUCAGUUGAAAUUCCAGAUGAGGACCUGAGGUGGAGAGCUGAAGUGGGCUGCUCCAGGUGCCCUCCUGGUGGAGCCAGGACUUAAACCCUGGUCUCGCUGACUUCAAAGCCUGAUGUGUAUGAGGCUAAGUCGUGUCAUCUCUCCGUGGAUAGUUCACACUUCCCAAUCAGGAAUAGUGAAAAUUCUAACAGGCUACAACCAGAGAAGAACCAAGAAUCCAAAUCAGAGAUGACACUUUCCCAUGCCGAGAGCACUUAGUUAUCUGGAGGUUGUUCCUUGGUGCCACAAGAUUUAAUUCUUUCAGAGGAGCUUGGCUCCUGCAUUGCCAGACAGAGGAUCGGGUGCUGAGGGAUCAGAGAUAAGCAGCCCAGAGUCCCUCAGGUGUACAACAGGGUGAUUCGACAGCUGUAUGUGUUACAAAAUGCUCACCAUGCUGCGCUUUGGCUAAUUUCUAGUUAUGGAGUAAUUUUUCCUUUUGCCACGAGUCCUGAUCCACAGGAGACAAGUCAGAAUGUCAGGGCCGGAAGGGACCUUGGAAAAC